AGUUAAUGAGCUUGAAAAGCGUAUAUUUUGAAAAUAUAAGAUAAGAAAAAAUCUUAUUAACUU
rnacentral:tRNA from 1 species